UUUUGGACAAUGGGCGCAAGCCUGAUCCAGCAAUGCCGCGUGAGUGAAGAAGGCCUUCGGGUUGUAAAGCUCUUUUGUCAGGGAAGAAGCGGUGAGCUCUAAUACAGUUUGCUAAUGACGGUACCUGAAGAAUAAGCACCGGCUAACUACGUGCCAGCAGCCGCGGUAAUACGUAGGGUGCAAGCGUCAAUCGGAAUUACUGGGCGUAAAGCGUGCGCAGGCGGUUAUGUAAGUCAGAUGUGAAAUCCCCGGGCUCAACCUGGGAAUGGCAUUUGAGACUGCAUGGCUAGAGUGUGUCAGAGGGGGGUAGAAUUCCACGUGUAGCAGUGAAAUGCGUAGAGAUGUGGAGGAAUACCGAUGGCGAAGGCAGCCCCCUGGGAUAACACUGACGCUCAUGCACGAAA
rnacentral:rRNA from 1 species